rnacentral:sRNA from 1 species
UCUCCCUCCACACCUCCCCGCAAGCUGAGGGAGCCGGCUCUGGCCUCGGCCAGCCCAGGAAGGGGCUCCCACAGUGCAGUGGUGGGCUGAAGGGCUCCUCAAGUGCGGCCAAAGUGGGAGCCCAGGCAGAGGAGGCGCCGAGAGCGAGGGAGGGCUGUGAGGACUGCCAGCACGCUGUCACCUCUCAAUAGCAGCCCAAACAGAUUAAGACAUGGGAGGUGAAAGACAACUUGAGUGGUUAAAUUACUGUCAUGCAAAGCGACUAGAUGGUUCAGCUGAUUGCACCUUUAGAAGUUAUGUGGAACGAGGCAGCAGAUCUUAAGCCCCUUGCUCUGUCACCCAGGCUGGAAUGCAGUGGUGGAAUCAUGGCUCACUACAGCCCUGACCUCCUGGGCCCAGAGAUGGAGUGUCGCUAUUUUGCCCAGGUUGGUCUCGAACACCUGGCUUCAAGCAGCCCUCCUGCUUUGGCUUCUUGAAGUGCUUGGAUUACAGUAUUUCAGUUUUAUGCUCUGCAACAAGUUUGGCCAUGUUGGAGGACCAUCCAAAGGUCAGCAAGUUGGCUACUGGCGAUUGGAUGCUCACUCUGAAGCCAAAGUCUAUUACUGUGCCCGUGGAAAUCCCCAUCUCCCCUCUGGGGUCUCACUAUGUUGCCCAGGCUGGUUUGGAACUCCUGAGCUCGAGAGAUCCUCCUUCCUCAGCCUCUCGAAGUGCUGGGAUUACAGGUGUGAGCCACUGUGCCUGGCUGAAAUUGAAUUGAUUCUAUGACCU